rnacentral:rRNA from 1 species
ACCGGCCGAUAUCAGAUUAGGUAGUUGGUGGGGUAAAGGCCUACCAAGCCGACGAUCUGUAGCUGNUUGAGAGGACGACCAGCCACACUGGGACUGAGACACGGGCCAGACUCNUACGGNAGGCAGCAGUGGGGAAUUUUGGACAAUGGGCGCAAGCCUGAUCCAGCAGUGCCGCGUGCAGNAUGAAGGCCUUCGGGUUGUAAACUGCUUUUGUACGGAGCGAAAAGGCUUCCACUAAUACUGGGGGCUCAUGACGGUACCGUAAGAAGAAGCACCGGCUAACUACGUGCCAGCAGCCGCGGUAAUACGUAGGGUGCGAGCGUUAAUCGGAAUUACUGGGCGUAAAGCGUGCGCAGGCGGUUUUGUAAGACAGAUGUGAAAUCCCCGGGCUCAACCUGGGAACUGCGUUUGUGACUGCAAGACUCGAGUGUGGCAGAGGGGGGUGGAAUUCCACGUGUAGCAGUGAAAUGCGUAGAGAUGUGGAGGAACACCGAUGGCGAAGGCAGCCCCCUGGGUCAACACUGACGCUCAUGCACGAAAGCGUGGGUAGCAAACAGGAUUAGAUACCCUGGUAGUCCACGCCGUAAACGAUGGGUGCUUGGUGUCGGGGGUAUCGACCCCUCCGGUGCCGAAGCUAACGCAUUAAGCACCCCGCCUGGGGAGUACGGUCGCAAGGCUGAAACUCAAAUGAAUUGACGG